rnacentral:rRNA from 1 species
CGGGACGGGUGAGUAACGCGUGGAUAACCUGCCUCACACUGGGGGAUAACAGUUAGAAAUGGCUGCUAAUACCGCAUAAGCGCACAGUACCGCAUGGUACGGUGUGAAAAACCCAGGUGGUGUGAGAUGGAUCCGCGUCUGAUUAGCCAGUUGGCGGGGUAACGGCCCACCAAGGCGACGAUCAGUAGCCGACCUGAGAGGGUGACCGGCCACAUUGGGACUGAGACACGGCCCAA